GACGAACGCUGGCGGCGUGCCUAAUACAUGCAAGUAGGACGCAGUUGCGAACGGGCGCGUAACGCGUAGGUAACAGCCUAUUAGAGGGAGAUAACUAUUGGGAACGAUAGGUAAUACCGCAUACUAGUAGAUGGACCUGCGUUGUAUUAGCUAGUAGGUAGGGUAAUGGCCUACCGAGGCGCAGAUACAUAGCCGAACUGAGAGGGUGAGCGGCGAAACUGGGACUUGGACACGGCCCAGAAGCCUAGGGGAAGCAGCAGGAGGGAAUCUUCGGCGAUGGGGGGAACCCUGACCGAGCAACGCCGCGGGAGGGAAGAAGGUUUUCAGGUCGUAAAGAUCUGUUGUUAAGGAAGCGGUACUUAACCAGAAAGGGACGGCUAACUACGUGCCAGCAGCCGCGGUAAUUC
rnacentral:rRNA from 1 species